rnacentral:rRNA from 1 species
UACAGAGGUCUCAAGCGUUGUUCGGAAUUACUGGGCGUAAAGGGUGCGCAGGCCGCGCGGGCAGUCAAAUGUGUAAUUCAGGGGCUCAACCCCUGCACUGCGCUUGAUACUUCCGCGCUCGAGCUUUGGAGAGGAGUCUGGAAUUCUCGGUGUAGCAGUGAAAUGCGUGGAUAUCGAGAAGAACACUUAGGGCGUAGGCAAGACUCUGGACAAAUGCUGACGCUCAUGCACGAAGGCUAGGGUAGCGAACGGGG